rnacentral:rRNA from 1 species
GAGUUUGAUCCUGGCUCAGAUUGAACGCUGGCGGCAGGCCUAACACAUGCAAGUCGAGCGGUAGCACAGAGAGCUUGCUCUCGGGUGACGAGCGGCGGACGGGUGAGUAAUGUCUGGGAAACUGCCUGAUGGAGGGGGAUAACUACUGGAAACGGUAGCUAAUACCGCAUAACGUCGCAAGACCAAAGUGGGGGACCUUCGGGCCUCAUGCCAUCAGAUGUGCCCAGAUGGGAUUAGCUAGUAGGUGGGGUAACGGCUCACCUAGGCGACGAUCCCUAGCUGGUCUGAGAGGAUGACCAGCCACACUGGAACUGAGACACGGUCCAGACUCCUACGGGAGGCAGCAGUGGGGAAUAUUGCACAAUGGGCGCAAGCCUGAUGCAGCCAUGCCGCGUGUGUGAAGAAGGCCUUCGGGUUGUAAAGCACUUUCAGCGGGGAGGAAGGCGGUGAGGUUAAUAACCUCAUCGAUUGACGUUACCCGCAGAAGGAG